rnacentral:rRNA from 1 species
UUGGAGGGCAAGUCUGGUGCCAGCAGCCGCGGUAAUUCCAGCUCCAAUAGCGUAUAUUAAAGUUGUUGCAGUUAAAAAGCUCGUAGUUGAAUUUCGGGAUCAAUAUUUCGGUCAUGCCGUUGGUAUGCACUGUUAUCAUUGAUUUCUCACCUUCUAAAGAACCGUAAUGCCAUUAAUUUGGUGUUACGGGGAAUUAGGACUGUUACCUUGAAAAAAUUAGAGUGUUUAAAGCAGGCUCACGCUUGAAUACAUUAGCAUGGAAUAGUGAAAUAGGACAUCCGAUUCUAUUUUGUUGGUUUCUAGGAUCGAUGUAAUGAUUAAUAGGGAUAGUUGGGGGCAUUAGUAUUCAAUUGUCAGAGGUGAGAUUCUUGGAUUUAUUGAAGACUAACUACUGCGAAAGCAUUUGCCAAGGAUGUUUUCAUUAAUCAGUGAACGAAAGUUAGGGGAUCGAAGACGAUCAGGUACCGUCGUAGUCUUAACCGUAAACUAUGCCGACUAGGGAUCGGGCGAUGUUCUUUUUCUGACUCGCUCGGCACCUUACGGGAAACCAAAGUGUUUGGGUUC